UACAGAGGUCUCGAGCGUUGUUCGGAUUCAUUGGGCGUAAAGGGUGCGUAGGCGGCGAGGUAAGUCGGAUGUGAAAUCCCGGGGGCUCAACCCCGGAACUGCAUUCGAUACUGCCCCGCUUGAGGACUGGAGAGGAGACUGGAAUUCACGGUGUAGCAGUGAUAUGCGUAGAUAUCGUGAGGAAGACCGGUGGCGAAGGCGGGUCUCUGGACAGUUCCUGACGCUGAGGCACGAAGGCCAGGGGAGCGAACGGG
rnacentral:rRNA from 1 species